rnacentral:lncRNA from 1 species
CCGGGGUAAGGAAUAAGGCUUAGCAUAAACUUUAAAAUAUUAGCCUAGAUUGUACAGCUAAAUCUUCAUAAUAAAACAUCCACUGCCUAUAAUGGUUCAGCUCACCCCCGUUGAAAGGGCCUCAGUGUGUGUAGCUGUAUGAACCUGAGUAUAAUCAUAAACAUAUAUCCACCAUGGGGGAACCACCAGACAUAUAUCAAGGGUGACAUGGAAAACCUAUCAUGUAACAAGAGGAAUCAAACCACCUAGUCAUAUAGCAAGGGUGACUCAAACAUCCGAUCAUUUAGACCCCCGCCUACCAAAUGCAGUUUCUAGUAUUGGUCCCUUGGGAUCUCCACUUUUAUGGCAUAACUGAAUAACUCCCCUUAAGCCCAAUUAAAAUAGUUUUCAUACAUUUCCAUUCAUUGAACCAAUUCAUUUAUUAAGGUACCACGCUAGUAUCAUCAUACCAAUUGCACUUGCAAGCUACCAUUAUCAUGCCAUACCAAUGACCAAUCACAUGGGAGAAUUCAUAACCCCUAGAUUCAAUUAUUCAUUCAUAUGGGGAAACCACAAC